AUGUGAUAUCUUAAUCUGAAAUAGCUGGAAUUACCGGCAGAUUGUUUAGUGGUGACCAUCGGUUUUCUGAAC